UACGUAGGGGGCAAGCGUUGUCCGGAAUCAUUGGGCGUAAAGAGCGCGUAGGCGGUCCGGUAAGUCAGCUGUGAAAGUCAAGGGCUCAACCCUUGAAAGCCGGUUGAUACUGUCGGGCUAGAGUCCGGAAGAGGCGAGUGGAAUUCCCGGUGUAGCGGUGAAAUGCGUAGAUAUCGGAAGGAACACCAGUGGCGAAAGCGGCUUCCUGGUCCAGCAUCGACGUUCAGGCACGAAAGCGUGGGGAGCAAACAGG
rnacentral:rRNA from 1 species